AACCUAUAAAAGACCCUAAGACCUAUAUACCUAAGGGGUCGUCCCUUUGAAAGACUAUGAUUGAUUGGCGCCGGACUCCGACUCCGAUCACCAUUUGCAUUUCUAAGCCAUCGCCGGACUACAAGUGUUACUAAGUAUACUUAGUUGGGUUUCAAAAACAUUUAGGCUGAACUCUCAGUAACUUUUGAUACUUCAACUUAGUUACUCUAUUUUGGCAUUUUCCACAUAAAACAAUUAUUCUUGGCUUUUGCUACUAUUGAUCUAUUUUUUAGAUCUCAUUCAAUUGAGCUACGCCCUUGGUAUUUCAUCUUCUGGGUUUAAUUUGCAGAAAAUCUUUGCUCAAUCAGAAGCAUUGAAGUUAGGGUUUCGUGGAUCCAUCGGCAAAGUUCUUUUUAGAGAGCGUUGAGCAAUAUCGAAGUUUGCCGUCAUGUCGCAACAUUGGCUUUUCAUUCCGGUCACGGGGAAACGAAAGAAAACAGUGUUGGUUUCCGAAACGGAGUUAAGUUGAAAUGAGUGCUUGAUUGUUGGAGUUGCCAUCCGAGGCGCGGUCCGUUGGUUUGGAGCGAGUUGAAUUUGUUGUUUUGAACCCCAUUCAUGACUGCGUUAUUCUGUCCAUAGACGACUCAAAAUUAUAUCAAUUCAGGUCCAUAUCUUUUAUCCCAUUUAUUAAUCCAUUGAUACAGUUUAUGUUCCCGUAAGUUCGAACUUGCAUUUUAAUUCUUGGUUAGCUCCACUAUUACCUUGUUUAGUUUGGGUUGGGGAAAUAAUCCAUAAAAAUUGGAAUUGGCUUUCGAUGAUAAAUUUGCAUCAAGCUUAAUAUCAUUUUGUUUUAUUCUUCUUAUUUUAAUCGCUAGGAGCAUGUUUAGGCUGACUAUACUUGGGUACGCAAACUUAGGGAUUUUGUCAAUUUUGAGGUGAGAGGUCGCUCCCUUAGUUAAAUUUAUCCGGAGAAUGCCCCGAAGGAUUUGUACAUAUUUUAUUCUGGGGAAUGUCUCGUAGUAUUUUGUAAUUGGAGGAUGUGACGAAUAUCGUAGAGGAAGUAGAGUAGGAUAAUUUAGGAC
rnacentral:lncRNA from 1 species